AAAUUCUUAUAAAGAUCCGGAGAAAUGAACUCUCCUAAGCAACAGAAGAACACGAGGUCGGAAAUGGUCCAACGCUUCUUUCCCACGACUUCUUCUCCUCCGUCGUCAUCCAUUAUCAUGUUCAAAGGCCAUAGCCACCGUACGUACAUGAGAACUGUCCAAGAAUAGCCACCCUGCGUCGGUAUAAAUGCCUCCUCGUCUCUCGUCUUCCUCAACACACGCUCACUGCACCCAAAAAUCCUAUCACAACCUCUAUCAGACCGAGAAAGCUACGUCGGCAACCACCAUGAGGGCGAGCUGCAUGGCCAUCCUGCUCCUCCUGUGCUUGCUUCUUCUGACACCGGCGACCUCCGACGCCAUCUCGCCUGCCGCGAUGUCCAUCGUCGCCUCGCCGGCGCCAGCGACGAGCGGAUCCCCCUCCUCCCAGGAAUGCCAUGACCAGUGCCUCGCAAGCAAGAACUGGAGAUUCUUCUGCAAUGUCAAAUGCUACCACAGCCUCUUCGAGAAGAGCAAGAAAGCAGAAACUACUGAUGAAUCAAGCAACUCUCCCAGUCCGAGUCCGUGAAGGAUAAUUAGCUGUCGUUUUGGGAUGGAUGAUCUCUCCGUUUCUAGUUUGAGUGUUUCUUUUUAGCUAUAAUUCUAUUGAAAUAUGUCUUGGGAGUUCGUUGAUGGAGCUCCCAAUUUUCAUUCUUUUUUCCUGAGAUUUGAUGCAUCUCAGAAAUUUUUUUGGUGUGGUUUUCCUCUGACCUUCUUUCUGUUCUCGAGAAGCGUCUGACCGAGCUGCACUCAAUAAAGAAAGGGUUGUUGAA